AUUAGGUGGAUAGUUUGGCUCAGUAAGAUGAAGAAGGACGUGACAAGCUACGAAAUGUCUCGGCGAGGUGCAGGUAACCGUUGAACCGAGAAUCUCCGAAUGUGACUUCACUUUGAAUCUGUAAAGAUGAGUAACGCAGGGAAUUGAAACAUCUUAGUACCUGCAGGAAAAGAAAUCAAAAGAGAUGCUGUUAUUAAGGGCGACUGAAAGCAGCACAAGGCAAACUGAAUCCUUUGCAGUAAUGUAAAGGAGAUGUGGUGUGGCCAUCGUUAUAAACCAUUUUUGUGAAUUGAAGUUUUCUGGAAAGUCAUACCAUAGAGGGUGAAAGUCCCGUAAGUAAAACAAAGAUGGUUUUAGGUGGUACCUCGAGUAGUAUUCAUCGGAUAUUGAAUAUGAAUGUGGGAGUAUCAACUUCCAACCUUAAAUACUCACUGAGUCCGAUAGCAAAGGAGUACCGUGAGGGAAAACUGAAAAGAACCCUUAACAGGGAGUUAAAAGAACUUGAAACCUAAUAACUAUAGCAAGGUAGGGCUCUACGGAGUUCUGCCGUGCGUUUAGAAUAACGUACCAGGGAGUAAAUCUAUGUGGCGAAGAUAAUCUUAUACAAGAGUAUCUAUAGCGAAAGCAAAACCUUGCAGAUUCGAGAAGGGGGGUACUAACCUGCCUUAAGUCACAUGGAUCUGACCCGAAGCGGGACGAUCUAUCCUUGAAUAAGAUGAAAUGUAGGUCAAACUGCAUGGAGGUCUGAAGGAGUGCUACGUGCAAGUGCUUCUCUAAUUUGAGGUUAGGGGUGAAAAGCCAAUCGAGUUCCGUGAUAGCUGGUUCCUACCAAAGUUGGCCAAAGUCAAGCCUUGAGUCAGAUAGCAUAGACGGUAGAGCUACGGAUUGGGGGCUCAGGGGAAGAAAUUCCUCGGUUCCUUGUCCAACUCCGAAUGUUUAUGCAUCGUAGCUCAGGAGACGCGUAUACGGGGUAAGCUUGUAUACGGAGAGGGGAACAACCCAGACUAUAGUUAAGGCCCCUAAACGCUAACUAAGUGUUAACGGGUGAAGAGUGUUCAUUCACACAGACAGCAAGGAGGUUGGCUUAGAAGCAGCCACCCUAUAAUAAGUGCGUAACAGCUUACUUGUCAAGUGGAUGAGCCUCGAAAAUGGACGGGGCUAAGUUAGCUGCCGAUACUAUAGACCAUCUAAAAGAUGAGUGGUAGGUAGGCGUUCUGGUUGGGCAGAAGGUUUUACAAGAGUAAGACUGGACCGAUUAGAAAUGAAAAUCCUGGUGGUAGUAGGAUCUUAGCAGAGUGAGAAUCUCUGUCACCGAAAGGGCAAGGGUUCCUUGACAAUGUCGAUCAAUCAAGGGUUAGUUAAUCCUAACUGUUCUCAUAACUUGAGAAACGGGAAAGGGAAACAGGUUAAUAUUCCUGUACUAUUAAAGUAAACGUGGUAACACAAGUUUAAUUCCUGACGCUUUUGGUUAGGCUAACACAAAUUAUCUUUUGUGCUAAUUAGAAUAAAUUAAUGGAGUAUCAUAACGAUGAGAAAUUAAUUAAGUCUAAGAAUGGUGCUCUUUGAGCAUUUAGCUGAUACCAUGAGCCCAUGAAAAGGGAAUUGAAAAUGAUCUUUAAUAUUUAUACCCAGAACCAGCACUGGUGCCCCUAGGUGAGAAGCCUAAGGUGUGAAGGUUUAAUCUGACUAAGGGAAUUCGGCAAAUUAGCCCCGUGCCUUUGGUAUAAGGGGUUCCUGUAAUUGUUUCUGUAUAGAGGCGAUUGUAGGAUGCAAAUAUUAGGGUGGUCCGACUGUUUAACAAAAACAUAGCUUUCUGCUAGCCUGUAAAGGUGUGUACAGAAGGUGAAGUCUGCCCAGUGCCCGUACUUUAAACUCCUUUCCAAGGGAGCUAAGAGCGGGUAAACGGCGGGAGUAACUAUAACUCUCUUAAGGUAGCGAAAUGCCUUGCCGUUUGAAUGACGGCUUGCAUGAAUGGCUUAACGAGAUCACCGCUGUCCCUAGUCAGAAUCCUCCGAACACCCUUUUCUGGUGCAAAGGCCAGAGAUUUCCAGUGGGAAGUGAAGACCCCGUGAAACUUUACUGUAGCCUGUAAUUGUGAUGUGAGUUUUGUUGUAUAGCGUAGAUGGGAGUUGUUAUGUUCUGGUCGCCAGAUCAGGAAUAGACGUCAGUGAAACACCAUCCAUCAAAACUUAUGUUGCUAACUAGCUCAAAGCUAGGACAGUUAUAGGUGGACAGUUUGGCUGGGGUGGCACCCUGCUGAAAUUGUAUCAGUAGGGCCCAAUGGUUAGCUCAAGUCGGUCAGAAAUCGACUGGAGAGUGCAAGGGCAAAAGCUAGCCUGAUUGGAUCUUCACUAAUUCAAGAUCUAAAAACGAAAGUUUGGCCUAGCGAACUCCUAUACCUCAUUGAUGGAGGUUAGGAAUGACAAAAAAGUUACUCCGGGGAUAACAGAGUUGUCGCGCCCGAGAGCUCAUAUUCAUGUUUGCACUUGCAAAUAUGAUAGAGUAAAUCGACGGCGCGGUUUGCUACAUCGAUGUCGGCUCUUCCUAUCCUGGUCGUGCAGAAGCGACCAAGGGUGCGGGUGUUCACCGAUUAAAAGGGAUCGUGAGCUGGGUUCAGAACGCUGUGAGGCAGUUUGUUUAAUAUCUACUGGAAAUGUUGGAAAUUUGAAAGGAAGAAUCUUCUAGUACGAGAGGAACGAAGGUUCGGAGCCACUGGUCCACCGGUUAUCUGAUAAGGUAAGCCGGGCAGCUACGCUCUAGAGGAUAAGUACUGAAAGCAUCUAAGUACGAAACCUUCCUUGAAAAGAAAUUUCUUGAACUCUCAUAAAAGAUGAGGUUAAUGGAUACGGUGUGUAAGUAC
rnacentral:rRNA from 1 species